rnacentral:rRNA from 1 species
AACGAACGCUGGCGGCAUGCCUAACACAUGCAAGUCGAACGAGACCUUCGGGUCUAGUGGCGCACGGGUGCGUAACGCGUGGGAACCUGCCCUUAGGUUCGGAAUAACUCCCCGAAAGGGGUGCUAAUACCGGAUAAUGUCUUCGGACCAAAGAUUUAUCGCCUUUGGAUGGGCCCGCGUUGGAUUAGCUAGUUGGUAGGGUAAAAGUCUACCAAGGCGACGAUCCAUAGCUGGUCUGAGAGGAUGAUCAGCCACACUGGGACUGAGACACGGCCCAGACUCCUACGGGAGGCAGCAGUAGGGAAUAUUGGACAAUGGGCGAAAGCCUGAUCCAGCAAUGCCGCGUGAGUGAUGAAGGCCUUAGGGUUGUAAAGCUCUUUUACCCGGGAUGAUAAUGACAGUACCGGGAGAAUAAGCUCCGGCUAACUCCGUG